UUUUGGGGGCGUGUGUCACAUUCCUAGUGUUGGGGGCUGCAGGGGCUCGGCUCUCCCGGGCCCGGGAGACAGGUGAAGCCCUCAGUUUGUUGGGUAGCGAAGGCAGAUAGCUCAGGAAGGAGAGUUCACGCUUGUCUCAAGCAGCCACCUGCCGCCCUGGGGACCUGGAGCAGUGGCCCAGGAGGUUGUGCUGAACUGACAUUGAGGAGAAACGGUGCAAUUAUCCAGCUGUACUGACACCAUUAGGGAACUUGUUCUGGAUCACAGGUAAGUCAGCUAAAUAUUUUGUCUUUGCAUAUUUGGGUAUAGAGCCUGUGGCCAGCAGUUGGUAUUUGGCAUGCAACUGCCUACUUUAUCCAUUUUUAUGCACCAACUAAUUUCCUUGAUGUAGGGAUUUGGGGAUGGUGAAAUAAUUUCAUAAAUUAUAAGCAAAAAAAAAUCUGUUUCAUCUGCUUCAUUCUGGAUAGCCACUGCAUAAAACCUGUCAAAAACAUAUUGCUUUGGGUUCAUCCCUGAUGCAGUUCCAUUGAUUACAGUGGAGUUAAAUCAAAGAUGAAUCUGUCUGUUCAAUUUAAAUCCAAUGAUUGGUUAAAAAGUCGGGGGGAGAGCCCUGUCUAAAUCCAGGGCAGUUUUAUCCUUGUGUCAGCAUUUAAUUCCAUUUGCAUAUAAGCCUAUUUCCCUUCUCUAAAUUUAAUUUGUUAGAGCUUGGCCCUCAGCAACAACAGCAACAACAAAGUAAUUGCAUGCAGUAUUGGGCAAUGAUGCCAACACAGCAUGUGUUAUGAAGGUGUCUCAUGCAAAUUUAUAAAAUGUAGCCAUUAGUGACAUUCUGCCUGGUAACAGGUAUCUGGAUACUUGAAAAACACUCUAAGCUUGAGCUUCAUGGACAUGUGACAUCUAAUAAUGCACAUAUGAAGAAGCUUUUUAAAAAUAUCAGCUAUUAAUGGUGUCUGUUUCACCAAAGGAAAUAAGAUAUCCAUGUCUUGUAUGACCAGCGGGAACAUUCUAGAGUUUCAUUGUGAUGAGAUAAAACUAACUGAGGCUUAGGUCUCAGACUGCACUAGAUAUUAUCUGUGACUUUGCAC
rnacentral:lncRNA from 1 species